GCUGCCGUACAUUACUUCACCUCCNACGCCAGGGAAUUACGAGCAAUGCUUAAAACCCAAAGGAUUUGACGGUGUCCCACCCCACUAGAGGAGCCUGUUCUAUAAUCGAUGAUCCCCGCUUCACCCGACCGUUCCUCGCCUAUCAGUCUGUAUACCUCCGUCGAAAGCUUACCAUGUGAACGCCAGCAGUAAGCUUAAUGAUAUUACCAUCAACACGUCAGGUCAAGGUGCAGCUUAAGGAACGGGAAGCAAUGGGCUACAAUUUCUAAUCUAGAACAAACGAAAGAUUAUGUGAAAUCCUAAUCAUGAAGGUGGAUUUAGUAGUAAAAAGGAAAUAGAGUGUUCUUUUUAACUCGGCUCUGGGACGCGU
rnacentral:rRNA from 1 species